rnacentral:lncRNA from 1 species
GGGCGACUGCGGCGGCGUGCUGUCAUGCACGGCGUACGGCAGCCCGCCCAACACCCUGGCGGAGUUCGCGCUCAACCAGUUCAACAACCUCGACUUCUUCGACAUCUCCCUGGUCGACGGCUUCAACGUGCCAAUGGACUUCAGCCCCACGUCAGGCGGCUGCCGCGGCAUCCGGUGCGCGGCGGACAUCAACGGGCAGUGCCCCGGGGCGCUGAAGGCGCCGGGCGGCUGCAACAACCCCUGCACCGUGUUCAAGACGGACCAGUACUGUUGCAACUCCGGCAGCUGCAGCCCGACCGACUACUCCCGGUUCUUCAAGAGAAACUGCCCCGACGCCUACAGCUAUCCCAAGGACGAUCAGACGAGCACCUUCACCUGCCCCGGCGGCACCAACUACAGGGUUGUCUUCUGCCCUUGAGAUCACUGACGCCACUAAUAAGCCGCCCUCGUGCAGGCAACCACGCAUAUAGAUAUAUAUACUAGUCUCCUACAAUACAAAUAAGAUGUCAAGAGUGAUGGAAGGUAUUAGCCUUCUCUUGGGCUAAUACUGUUGACUGAUGUAAUAGAAGUGGUGCAACCAACUAAUAAGAUGCAUAAUAUCAUCACAGCAUGAGUGCUUUUCCAUUGAUGUUUGAAUCAUUUUGUGAGAGCAAUCAGCUUAUGCAAUCAGCAAAAAGAAUAAUUAAACCAUUUCUAUUUAUGUCUUGUUGGCUUAAAACAUGAAUUGAUUUUGAAACAUAAUGAACCCUACAUAUAUAACUUCAUAAAAGAUAUCUCAAGGACCAUACAUUAUACAUACAUAUAUACAUAUAUAUACAUAUAUAUACACAUAUAUAUAUACAUAUAUAUACACAUAUAUAUACAUAUAUAUAUAUAUACAUAUACAUAUAUAUAUAUAUAUNNNNNNNNNNNNNNNNNNNNUAUGUAUAUAUAUAUAUGUAUAUAUAUAUAUAUCAUUUAGGAUGAUGAGUCAUCGCCUAUCCAAUUUGGACCUCUGCCAUUCUCCGUAGAAACUUUGCGUAGCCAUUUUCCAAUACAAUUGCGCGUUGACCAGAGUGCGUCCAUGUGAUCCUCCCCGGUAAGUUUGGUGCCCGAAAUUAUCCGGCAAGUAUGGCUUUAAAUAUUGGAAUUAGUUGCUCUUUGUUUUACGUAGGCCGAUCAAGAUGAACAGAGAGAAUGAUGCUGACUAAUUGAGCCCUGACCAAUCGAGGGCUUCAGGACUCGAGCCCCGACGCGCCCUCGGGAAGCUGCCGCGGGAGGCGGACAUCGAUGGGCAGUGCCCGCAGGUGUUGAGGGCGCCGCGGCGGGUGCACCGCUCGACCGUGUCCAAGGCGGACCGGUACUGCUGCAGCUCCUGCAACUGUGCGUCAAGCGGCUACUUCAGCUUCUUGAGGAGGAACUGCACCGAUGGCUAUAUCUUCCCACAACCUUACGGCCUGGCUUCCACCACUAGUUUCUACGGUAGUCUUCCUCCUCCAAGAGUCGAAUUCAGCUUCCUACAAGAUUAUAAUGAUGGUUUGUAUCAAUUAGUUGUUAAAUUGUAUUUUGGAACCUAAUACAUAUUUUAAAUAUAAAUUCAUAUUUAAAGUUUCUUUAACAUCACAUUUGUCAUGAAUAUAGUGUCAGUAAAUGCUUAAAUUCUGAAACUAUCUUAGAAUAAUUAUAACAUCUCGAGUAAUCUCACAUAAAAAAUGAAUAAGAUUAAAAUUAACUUAUGAUAGUAUAUUACUAUCAAUAUUAAUUUGAAUAUUUUGAUUGCUUGGAUUCAAGAAAAUUGAUAAGUCAAUUAGUUAAUCAAUUGUGACAUUCGAUAUCAAAUUAGUAUUAGGAUAUAGUAUAAUCAAAUUACUAUUAGCGUAUCGUGAGUGAGCUUCGUACUCGUUCAUUGUGAAGUCAUCUUGGGCUAUGUCUUACAUGCCGCGCUAUAUUGAGUCUUUGACAAUGAUUAAUUUUUUUUUUAUAGUUCACACAUAAAAAUAGAUUUUGAACUAUUUAAUUUUAAAAAUCAUAUUAUUUAUUAUAAAAUAUAUUUAUUAAAAUUUAAUUAACUAAUAAAAUUAUUAACUUAUUCACAUAAUUAAGAAAAUCAAUUUUAAUCAUUUUCUUAGCCAUACUAUACAAACAAAAUCACAAUGUAUAUAUUUUUCUUAAAUUUUUAUCUUAAAUGCAUGUUGCUAAUUAUAAUACUUGAUUUAUAUUUAGAUUUAUAUGAUAGUUGAUUAAAAAUAUUAUUUCUUCUCUUAUGUAAUUUUAUCUUUUUAAUAAUCUAUUGUUUAUUAUAUUUUAAUGACUCAAUGCUUGGGAUUAGAUGUUUUUUACUAUAAUUUCAUAAUGCUAUAAUUUAGAAUUGAAGAAAUUGAUUAGGAUUUGGGUUAUAUCUCACACGUACAAUCUUAGAGUUUGAGUUGGGUUUUAAUAAGGAUCAUUUAUUUUUUAUAUAAUAUUUAUUUCCUAUGAUUCACACAUAAAAAUAAAAUUUAAAUUAUUUACUUUCUAAAAAUUGCAUCACUCGUUGAGAAACGAAUCAAUUAAUAAUUUAAUUAAUUUAGUAAUCAUAUUACAUAAAUAAAAUCAUAAUGUGUAGUAUUUUAAAAUUUUUUAUCUUACAUGCAUGAUGCACGAUGAUAAUUAUAAUCCUUGGUUUCUAUUAUAUUUAUAUAGUAAUUUAUUAAAAAUAUUAUUUUCUCACUAAUGUAAUUUUAUUUUAAAAUUUAUUACUAUUUAUUAUGUUUUUAAUGACUCAAUACUAAUGAUCAGAUAUUCUAAUUAGUAGUCAUAUUAGUAAUCAUUAAGAAAUUUAAUUUAAAUUAUUUCAGUAAUAAUAUUACAUAAAUAAAAUCAUAAUGUGUAGUAUUUUUAAAAUUGUUAUCUUACAUGCAUGAUGCAUGAUGAUAAUUAUAAUACUUGGUUUCUAUUAGAUUUAUAUAAUAAUUUAUUAAAAUAUUAUUUUCUCACUUAUGUAAUUUUAGUUUUAAAAUUUAUUACUAUUUAUUAUGUUUUUAGUGACUCAAUACUAAUGAUCAGAUAUUCUAAUUAUAUUUUUUAUAUUUUAAAAUUAAGAGAAUUGAUUAAGAUUUAAGUUGAAAUCAACAAACAAUUAGAGCUAACCCAUAGGCUAGCCACAACUCGUAGAUUAAGCUCAGCAAGCAAGUCAACCCAUAGCCUAUAGGACUCCAAUAUGAUCAGUUAUGUAAUGUACAGACCAAGUCAGAUUUCAUAAACUUAGAUAGAUUCAAGGUAAUUCUAAACUUAUUUAGUCUAUUCAUGUCUAUCUAAUCUAAAUCGAACUCAAUCUAGUCCAAAGUAUACAAGUCUAAGAUGAUUCUAGACUGAUUAAAUGAGAAUUAAAAAUCGAUUUUAUUAUACUAGAGUUAAAUCGAGUUCAAUUGAUUUUAAUUAAACUCGUUUAGAUCGAUUAAGUUCUAGUUAAAUCAGGUUCAAUUAGACCGAUUGAGUUAAGUUAGAUAAAACCUAGGGAUAUGAGUUAUAAAUAAUAUUCAUCAAAUUUCUUCAAUCUAAUUUAUGCUAAAAUAGUUCAAUAAUAAAAAAUAAUAACUGCAAUAAUUAUUGAAUGUUAAUCAGUAUAAUGAAAAAUUCAUAUAAUAACUAUAAUUAUGAUAAGUCAUGAAUUAUAUUUUUAUAUAAUUUUCAAACAUAUUAUAUAAAUAAUCAAAUAAAUAUCCAAGAAAAAUAAUUAGAUUUUUAUUUAUCACAUGCAAAAUUUUAUCAAUAUGACAAAUAAGAAAAUUAUUAAAGAAAAAUCAUAAUUUAUAUUUUUAAAAUUUUGUAUGAACCCUUAUACCAAUCAACCCUAUUUAAUUAGGUAAGCCCAUAAUUGGACUACCUAAAUUGGGCUAACAAUUUGCCUAAUUAGACCCAUUAAGAUUAAAGUUGAUCAAAAUAAAAAAAAGAUCAAAAAUAACUUUUUUUUAAUUUGAUCAAAAACUUAAUUGGUCGAAUUUAAAUCCAACCAAAUAGUUAAAAUAUAGUAAUGAUUAAGCUCGUUUAAAAGAUUUGAUUAAAAUAAAUCAAAUUAAUAAAUUUUAUAAUUGAGGGCAUAUCUCAAAAUAUUUUAAUUCAAAAGGGUAAAACUAUAAUUUUACUGGGAUAUGUAGAGAAAAUAUCUAAUUUCUGAAGAAUAUAAUUAUCAAAAGGACACAAGUUGAAAUUAAAAGACUUUAUAAGAAUAAAUUUAUAAUUUUAAAAAUAAAUCCUAAUCUUUCACCCAGAAAGGCUCUCUCGCAUUUGUCAUUGGUUCCACCAUGCCCACACGCAAAAGUCAACACCGCAGUGUUCGCCCACCACCUGCAUGGACAACGAGGCAGUUGUCCUUAUGCAUUCAAACGAUAACCUCAUCGGUCGUCGCGUUGUGCCAUGCUCAUGAGUGGCUAUUAUCAUCGUGCGCUUGACUAUAACACUUCAAAAACAAUAUGUAUGUCACUGACCGGAAGCUAUCGCGUAGUUACGCACACAUGCCGAUCGAUAACCCCCAGAAUCACUUUGAUGUGUGACUGUGCUCGCUUGUCUUGCUACAUAGUCGUUGGGAACAAUGGCUUUCAGUGUCCAAUCGAUGUUGACCAUGGCCAACAAGCACUACCACAGUGGUAUUACUGUAACCAUUGUACGUAGUGAAGCUAUAUAGCCACUAUAGGUGCAUGCGCACAUAGUGGCACUGUUACAAUCAUCGCACUUAGUAUUAUACCCCAUGGUGCUUCCAUUAGGUACGCAAUUGCUACUCGCGAUUGAACUAAUGACAAUCAAAAGUUGUCGCUCUUAACCAUAUUGUUAUCGACAAUAAGCUAGUCACAGUGAUCCAUUGAUCAAGUACGAGAAAAUUCAUAUCUCCCACAAAUAGGUGAUAAGAUCGAUUAAAUAGAAAAAUAGAUCAAUAAUAUAUAUGAAUCAUUCAUACAUCGUAAAUAAAAAAUUGAAUAACACUUUUUCAUAAGCCAAAGAUGCUAACAAAUAUAUCUAAAAUAAUUUAUUUUACAAACAUGACUCUGAUAUCAAUUGUAAGUAUAAAAACCAUCCUUAUGCUAUUGUUAUGCAGAAAACUUUAACACCAAAAUCUAAAAUCAAAUAAUAAUAGAUAAGAUUCAUGAUACGUACAUUUUGAUGCUAGUUAAAAAAGCUCUUAUAUGAUCUAUAGGUACACCAUCGUUGGAUCUGAAAGUUAUAGUAAUAUCGAUCUAUAAGAAGAAUUAGACUCAUCGUUUUCUCAUUUUCUAUCCUUUAUAGGACCACUACAAUGGAUUUAGAGACUAAGGGGAGAUGAGAGAAGAUUUAUAAUUUCUCACUGACUUAUUCACAAAAAUUUAUAAUUUUUUAAUAAUAUUUUGUAAACACGUAUCGUUUUUAUCUUCUUAUAGUAUUUCUAGGUGAGAAUAGAAAAUCUAUGAUAAGUAAUGAAUAGGGUCUUUCUAAUCAAAAUCUAUCUCUUAACGAAUUUUAUGAUAAUUUAAUUUUUUAUCAAUCUAUAAUCAUAAUUAAAAUUUAAUCAUAUCUAUAAUAUAUCUUAAAUAAAUAAUUAGUGAUAUAUAAUCUGACACCUCUCUCUUCUCUCCCUUAUAAAUUCCCCACCUCUCCACCCCUCGGAUCUGCACAACACAGAGCACGAAGCCUAAGACUCGCCGUUAGAUGGCUUCGUCAAGCAUUCUCUCCCUCUCCUUCUUCUCCCUUCUUGUCACCCUCUCCCAUGCCGCCAACUUCGAGAUCGUGAACCGAUGCUCUUACACAGUGUGGGCCGCGGCCGUGCCCGGCGGCGGACGCCAGCUCAACCAGGGGCAGUCGUGGACCAUCAACGUGAAAGCGGGAACGACCGGCGGCCGCAUCUGGGGCCGCACAGGCUGCUCCUUCGACGGGAGCGGCCACGGGCGGUGCCAGACGGGCGACUGCGGCGGGUUGCUGGCGUGCACGGCGUACGGUAGCCCGCCCAACACCCUGGCGGAGUUCGCGCUCAACCAGUACAGCAACCAAGACUACGUGGACAUCUCCCUGGUCGACGGCUUCAACGUGCCUAUGGACUUCAGCCCCACGUCGGGCGGCUGCCGCGGCAUGCGGUGCACGGCGGACAUCAACAAGAAGUGCCCCACGGCACUGAAGGCGCCGGGCGGCUGCAACAACCCCUGCACCGUGUUCAAGACGGACCAGUACUGCUGCAACUCCGGCAGCUGCCAGCCGACCGAGUACUCCAAGUUCUUCAAGAGCAACUGCCCCGACGCCUACAGCUAUCCGAAGGACGAUCCGACGAGCCUCGUCGCCUGCCCCGGCGGCACCAACUACAGGGUUGUCUUCUGCCCUUGAGAUCACCGACGCCACUAAUAAGCCUCCCUCGUGUAGGCAACCACGCAGAUAUAUAUAUAUAUAUAUAUNNNNNNNNNNNNNNNNNNNNCCCGACGCCUACAGCUAUACCGAAGGACGAUCCGACGAGCCUCGUCGCCUGCCCCGGCGGCACCAACUACAGGGUUGUCUUCUGCCCUUGAGAUCACCGACGCCACUAAUAAGCCUCCCUCGUGUAGGCAACCACGCAGAUAUAUAUAUAUAUAUAUAUAGCAGUCUCCUACAACACAAAUAAGAUGUCAAGAGUGAUGGAAGGUAUUAGCCUUCUCUUGGGCUAAUACUGUUGACUGAUGUAAUAGAAGUGGUGCAACCAACUAAUACGAUGCAUAAUUAUCACAGCAUGAGUGCUUUUCCAUUGAUGUUUAAAUCAUUUUGUGAGAGCAAUCAGAUAAA